GACGAACGCUGGCGGCGCGCCUAACACAUGCAAGUCGAACGGGAUCUUUUAGGAGUGCUUGCACUCUUGGCUGAUCUAGUGGCGGACGGGUGAGUAACACGUGAGCAACCUGCCCUGGAGUGGGGGACAACAGCAGGAAACGGCUGCUAAUACCGCAUAACAUAUAUUUGUGGCAUCACAGAUAUAUCAAAGGAGAAAUCCGCUUGAAGAUGAGCUCGCGUCCCAUUAGCUAGUUGGCGGGGUAGAGGCCCACCAAGGCGACGAUGGGUAGCCGGACUGAGAGGUUGAACGGCCACAUUGGGACUGAGACACGGCCCAGACUCCUACGGGAGGCAGCAGUGGGGAAUAUUGCGCAAUGGGGGAAACCCUGACGCAGCAACGCCGCGUGAUUGAAGAAGGCCUUCGGGUUGUAAAGAUCUUUAAUCAGGGACGAAGGAAGUGACGGUACCUGAAGAAUAAGCUCCGGCUAACUACGUGCCAGCCGCCGCCGUAAAAC
rnacentral:rRNA from 1 species